AUUGAACGCUGGCGGCAUGCCUUACACAUGCAAGUCGAACGGUAACAGGUUAAGCUGACGAGUGGCGAACGGGUGAGUAAUGUAUCGGAACGUGCCCAGUCGUGGGGGAUAACUGCUCGAAAGAGCAGCUAAUACCGCAUACGACCUGAGGGUGAAAGCGGGGGAUCGCAAGACCUCGCGCGAUUGGAGCGGCCGAUAUCAGAUUAGGUAGUUGGUGAGGUAAAGGCUCACCAAGCCGACGAUCUGUAGCUGGUCUGAGAGGACGACCAGCCACACUGGGACUGAGACACGGCCCAGACUCCUACGGGAGGCAGCAGUGGGGAAUUUUGGACAAUGGGCGCAAGCCUGAUCCAGCCAUGCCGCGUGCGGGAGGAAGGCCUUCGGGUUGUAAACCGCUUUUGUCAGGGAAGAAAAGGUUCUGGCUAAUACCUGGGACUCAUGACGGUACCUGAAGAAUAAGCACCGGCUAACUACGUG
rnacentral:rRNA from 1 species